rnacentral:rRNA from 1 species
UGGGGAAUAUUGGACAAUGGGCGAAAGCCUGAUCCAGCCAUGCCGCGUGUGUGAAGAAGGCCUUUUGGUUGUAAAGCACUUUAAGUGGGGAGGAAAAGCUUGUGGUUAAUACCCAUAAGCCCUGACGUUACCCACAGAAUAAGCACCGGCUAACUCUGUGCCAGCAGCCGCGGUAAUACAGAGGGUGCAAGCGUUAAUCGGAAUUACUGGGCGUAAAGCGCGCGUAGGUGGUUAUUUAAGUCAGAUGUGAAAGCCCCGGGCUUAACCUGGGAACUGCAUCUGAUACUGGAUAACUAGAGUAGGUGAGAGGGGAGUAGAAUUCCAGGUGUAGCGGUGAAAUGCGUAGAGAUCUGGAGGAAUACCGAUGGCGAAGGCAGCUCCCUGGCAUCAUACUGACACUGAGGUGCGAAAGCGUGGGUAGCAAACAGGAUUAGAUACCCUGGUAGUCCACGCCGUAAACGAUGUCUACCAGUCGUUGGGUCUUUUAAAGACUUAGUGACGCAGUUAACGCAAUAAGUAGACCGCCUGGGGGAGUACGGCCGCAAGGUUA